rnacentral:rRNA from 1 species
GAUGCACGCUGGCGGCGUGCCUAAUACAUGCAAGUCGAGCGAACAGACGAGGAGCUUGCUCCUCUGACGUUAGCGGCGGACGGGUGAGUAACACGUGGAUAACCUACCUAUAAGACUGGGAUAACUUCGGGAAACCGGAGCUAAUACCGGAUAACAUGUUGAACCGCAUGGUUCAACAGUGAAAGACGGUCUUGCUGUCACUUAUAGAUGGAUCCGCGCCGCAUUAGCUAGUUGGUAAGGUAACGGCUUACCAAGGCAACGAUGCGUAGCCGACCUGAGAGGGUGAUCGGCCAAACUGGAACUGAGACACGGUCCAGACUCCUACGGGAGGCAGCAGUAGGGAAUCUUCCGCAAUGGGCGAAAGCCUGACGGAGCAACGCCGCGUGAGUGAAGAAGGUCUUCGGAUCGUAAAACUCUGUUAUUAGGGAAGAACAAAUGUGUAAGUAACUAUGCACGUCUUGACGGUACCUAAUCAGAAAGCCACGGCUAACUACGUG